GUGUCUCUCCAGCCCACCCCGCACCUGGCCCUGAGCCCCCACAAUGCACAUGAUUUGCUUUCCCUGUGUGGGCUCUGCGCUCUGAAACUCCGGAUAUUUGACUUGCUCCUCUCUUUGCCUUCAGUAUCUCCCUCUUCCCCACUCCCCACUUUUUUGCUAGCUCUUUACAUUAUGCAUGGACACAGCAACAGAAGUGUGAAAUGUGAUGGGACCAAAUUCCAAAACCUUUUCCGGAGAAAAUGAAGGGUUCUUAUCCACGUGCCUUUCACCUUCUGAAAACCAGCAGGUAGCUCCCUGGCCGGCUGGGGAUGGAACUUGUGCUGCAGUGGCUGCCAAUAGCUUCCACUUGGUGAACACGUGAAGAUCUGGGAAGAAUGCCUGGAGGGAAGGACGUGAAGCACCACCCCCAUUCCCCAAGGCUCGUCCUGUGUAUAUCUCUUCCACACGGCUUUUACUGAGUUAUAACCUUUGUAAUAAA